rnacentral:rRNA from 1 species
CAGCAGCCGCGGGAAUACGUAGGGUGCGAGCGUUAAUCGGAAUUACUGGGCGUAAAGCGUGCGCAGGCGGUUUUGUAAGACAGGCGUGAAAUCCCCGGGCUCAACCUGGGAAUGGCGCUUGUGACUGCAAAGCUAGAGUGCGGCAGAGGGGGAUGGAAUUCCGCGUGUAGCAGUGAAAUGCGUAGAUAUGCGGAGGAACACCGAUGGCGAAGGCAAUCCCCUGGGCCUGCACUGACGCUCAUGCACGAAAGCGUGGGGAGCAAACAGGAUUAGAUACCCCUGUAGUCCCUGUCUCUUAUAC